rnacentral:rRNA from 1 species
GAUGAACGCUGGCGGCGUGCCUAAUACAUGCAAGUCGAGCGAACAGACGAGGAGCUUGCUCCUCUGACGUUACCGGCGGACGGGUGAGUAACACGUGGAUAACCUACCUAUAAGACUGGGAUAACUUCGGGGAACCGGAGCUAAUACCGGAUAAUAUAUUGAACCGCAUGGUUCAAUAGUGAAAGACGGUUUUGCUGUCACUUAUAGAUGGAUCCGCGCCGCAUUAGCUAGUUGGUAAGGUAACGGCUUACCAAGGCAACGAUGCGUAGCCGACCUGAGAGGGUGAUCGGCCACACUGGAACUGAGACACGGUCCAGACUCCUACGGGAGGCAGCAGUAGGGAAUCUUCCGCAAUGGGCGAAAGCCUGACGGAGCAACGCCGCGUGAGUGAUGAAGGUCUUCGGAUCGUAAAACUCUGUUAUUAGGGAAGAACAAAUGUGUAAGUAACUAUGCACGUCUUGACGGUACCUAAUCAGAAAGCCACGGCUAACUACGUG